GGCGAACGCUGGCGGCGUGCUUAACACAUGCAAGUCGAACGGAAAGGCCCUGCUCUUGUGGGGUGCUCGAGUGGCGAACGGGUGAGUAACACGUGAGUAACCUGCCCUUGACUUUGGGAUAACUUCAGGAAACCGGGGCUAAUACCGGAUAGGAGCUCCUGCUGCAUGGUGGGGGUUGGAAAGUUUCGGCGGUUGGGGAUGGACUCGCGGCUUAUCAGCUUGUUGGUGGGGUAGUGGCUUACCAAGGCUUUGACGGGUAGCCGGCCUGAGAGGGUGACCGGCCACAUUGGGACUGAGAUACGGCCCAGACUCCUACGGGAGGCAGCAGUGGGGAAUAUUGCACAAUGGGCGGAAGCCUGAUGCAGCAACGCCGCGUGCGGGAUGACGGCCUUCGGGUUGUAAACCGCUUUCGCCUGUGACGAAGCGUGAGUGACGGUAAUGGGUAAAGAAGCACCGGCUAACUACGUG
rnacentral:rRNA from 1 species